GAUGAACGCUAGCUACAGGCUUAACACAUGCAAGUCGCGGGGCAGCAUGGGGGUUGCUUGCAAUCCCCGAUGGCGACCGGCGCACGGGUGAGUAACGCGUAUCCAACCUGCCCUUCACCACGGGAUAACCCGGCGAAAGUCGGACUAAUACCGUAUGUUGUCCAUUGACGGCAUCCGAUUUGGACGAAAGGGUUGGCGGUGAAGGAUGGGGGUGCGUCCGAUUAGCUGGACGGCGGGGUGACGGCCCACCGUGGCGACGAUCGGUAGGGGUUCUGAGAGGAAGGUCCCCCACACUGGAACUGAGACACGGUCCAGACUCCUACGGGAGGCAGCAGUGAGGAAUAUUGGUCAAUGGGCGUAAGCCUGAACCAGCCAAGUAGCGUGCAGGAUGACGGCCCUAUGGGUUGUAAACUGCUUUUAUGCGGGGAUAAAGUGGCCCACGUGUGGGUUUUUGCAGGUACCGCAUGAAUAAGGACCGGCUAAUUCCGUG
rnacentral:rRNA from 1 species